rnacentral:rRNA from 1 species
UACGUAGGGGGCUAGCGUUGUCCGGAAUCAUUGGGCGUAAAGCGCGCGUAGGCGCCCAGUAAGUCCGUUGUAAAAGUCAAAGGCUCAACCUUUGAAAGCCGAUGGAUACUGCUGGGCUAGAGUCCGGAAGAGGCGAGUGGAAUUCCUGGUGUAGCGGUGGAAUGCGCAGAUAUCAGGAGGAACACCGAUAGCGAAGGCAGCUCGCUGGGACGGUACUGACGCUGAGGCGCGAAAGCCAGGGGAGCAAACGGG